UACGUAGGGUGCAAGCGUUGUCCGGAAUUAUUGGGCGUAAAGAGCUCGUAGGCGGUCUGUCGCGUCUGCUGUGAAAACUCAGGGCUUAACCCUGAGCUUGCAGUGGGUACGGGCAGACUAGAGUGCGGUAGGGGAGACUGGAAUUCCUGGUGUAGCGGUGAAAUGCGCAGAUAUCAGGAGGAACACCGGUGGCGGAAGGCGGGGUC
rnacentral:rRNA from 1 species